CACGCUGUAAACGAUGAGUGCUAGGUGUCGGGGGGUCCAACCCUCGGUGCUGUCGCUAACGCAAUAAGCACUCCGCCUGGGGAGUACGGUCGCAAGACUGAAACUCAAAGGAAUUGACGGGGGCCCGCACAAGCGGUGGAGCAUGUGGUUUAAUUCGAAGCAACGCGAAGAACCUUACCAAGUCUUGACAUCCCUUGCACGCUCUAGAGAUAGAGUUUUCCCCUUCGGGGGACAAGGUGACAGGUGG
rnacentral:rRNA from 1 species